AUCCAGCUGACGAGUCCCAAAUAGGAUGAAACGCAUUUCCUGGAA
rfam:Schistosoma mansoni strain Puerto Rico chromosome 1, complete genome